ACCCACGUCUCUCCUGUCCCCGUGGCCAGUGUGACCUUCGACGGACCCGUCAUUCGGAGAAGCCCCAGACCUGAGCCUCCCCUGGAGGGCCUUUAGACCUGUGGCCCCCGGUGGCCUCCAUCUCUGCUUCUCAUCAGCCACUGCCCGCCCCACCUCACGCUCCGCCUCCACGCGCCCCUCUUGCAAACGCUUUCCGGAGCUUUGGUUUUCGUGGCCUAAGUCCCCGUGCUUUUCUCCUGCGUCUCAGGCCUCUGCCUCUGGGUCCCAGAAGUUUCUCUUCCUCUGGGCUGGGUCCUGAGUCAGUUCCUAAGUCGACCUCUCCCAUGGCUUCAGCCGUAGCACCAAAUCUGUAUUCCCUGCAUCCCGCUGCUCCACGCCCCCAUUUAACACGAGCCUCUCCCCUCCCUCCUCAAACCGCUCUUCCCACAGUCCUCCCUUUCUCGGAACGUGGCAUUAAGUCUUCUAAGGCGCCUGGGCCAAGACCCUUGGAGGUAUCCUUGAUUCCCCUGACGGCCUCCACCGCCCAGCAAUCUAGCAAGGCCCUUUAGCUCUACCGUUGGCUACCUCCCCUCCACCCACAAGCCUGACGUCCAUCUUUUCUCAUCCAGACUAUUUAUUCUCCCUGAUUUGAACUGCAUCUAUUCUUCAUGCUUUAAUCUUUAAAAAGAAAUUAAAUCGUGAUCCCCAAACUUCGGCCUCAAACCCUCCAUGACUUCCCACCACACUUAAAAUCCACAGGCCCUCCUGUCCCAGCUGGUCCUGUAUGCUCGGGCCCCUUUCUCUCUCUCCCACUUUAUCUCUCACCAUCUCCCCUUUACUCUCCAUGCUGCAGCCACAAGGCCUUUUAGUGGUUAUUUGAAUAAUUCAUAAUCUGUCUUCCUGAAGCCAUUCCCUAGACUUGCACCUGAAGUGUAGCCGCCCCCAUCACAGACAAACUGAAGACACCCUGGGUCAGGGGAGCUGGUCUGACAGAUGUUGAGUCAGGCAAAGCAGAACAACUUGAGAGCCCAGAGGCCCGGCAGAGCACCCAGCUGAUGCCAGAGAAAGAUCCAGGUUUCAGCAAUCCAUGAAAAAACUGAGGCACAGAGAGAUUGAGAGACGUGUUUAUGGACACAUAGCUGAGAGUUGGCAGAGAUGGGGUUCAAACCUAGGCAGCCUGGCUCCAGUGUCAAUGCUAACGUUGCCUCCCAUGUAGUGGAGAGAGCCACAGCAGCCAGGACCUGAGAGGGGAGAUGACCAAGAUGAAGCAGCCUGAGAGAGACAGGAGUAGAACCAGGAGAGGAUGCCAUCGUGGAAGCUAGAGAGAAGUGCUUGG